ACAUGCCUACAACAUAGCGUUAAUGCAUUGAAUCCCAUAAGAACUCUGCAGUUAAGCGCGCAUGGGAUAGAGUAGUACUAGGAUGGGUGACUGCCCGGGAAGUACUAGUAUUUUACAUGCC
rnacentral:rRNA from 1 species